AAUCAAUUAAAUGUUACAUUUUUCUCUGCAGUUUAUAAUGACAUUUCAGUGUUGCGUAUUUCACCUCAAUAACAUAAGAAAUUAAAAAGUAAAGAGGUCCUUCAUUGUGUUUGUGCAAUUCUCUCCAUUUUAACAAACAUUUUUACAGGCUAAGAGAGCAACUAAAUUUUAUUUUUUUUGUCCCUCUGUCUUUUCCCUCCUCUGAACUCCUCAACGCUAUCUUUGCUGCGGGCCCUGUUCACUGUUGCCGAUUCAGCUGUAAGUUCACAAAUAAAGUAACGCUGACACUUUUUACAACACAUCAUGUAAAAACCUGACACUAUGUCCUUAUUUGACAAACUGCAGCACAUUCUCAUUGUAACACAAACCAUUUAAAAAAACACUUUAUUUAAACUAAAGCAGAACCAAAUAGAAAUAAUUUUGCAGGCUGAUUACAAUUGAAACGACAAUGCAGUGAGAUGUGCUGGUUUUGUACAACUAAACUAAAAAUCUCUUGUCUCUUUUUUUCCAUUUUCCUUCUUGCCAACUCUAUCCUGUCUCCUAGUGCAGACCGUUUUGUGGCGACUCGACGUAAGUUCACACAGGAAUGACAUUUUCAUGAAUAACGCAGGGUGCCUUUAUUCAAUACAUUAUGGACCCCUCAUCAUGUCCAAACUUAACUUUUUUUCCCCUUUGAUAAUGUAAUAUUCACAGUUGGAAAUGAACAGGUUAAAUGUGAUAUGCAAUACACUUAUUUGCAUUUUAUUUCCAAUCAUUGGAAAGCAAUUUGUUACUAUUAAAUUGUGGAGUUGUAAUUUUUUAAUCAUGAAAAUCCAAAGAAUUACUAAUUGAGUGUGAUUACCUCCUUUUGUGCAGCUCUUAUAUUAGAAAAAAAAUCAAAUUUAAUGUUCCUUAAUAUGGAAUAGACAAUCAUUAUCUAUGCCGCCAUUGAUUUAUUUUAUUAUUCAUUUAAUCCUCCGUUUAGAAAUGUGUAUAUCCUUCUAAGGUACUUUGCAUGCUUCUGUUUACAGCUUACGGAGCUGCUUGGCCUCAUUAUAACUUAUUACAUUGUAGGAAUACUUAAAACACGGUAAAGGAAAUAACAUUUUCCAAAACACAUCAUAUUUUAUCAGCAGAGUAAUCCAUUGUUAUUACUGCUUACCAGGACAUGGUUAUAAACAUUAUAGAGGGAACUUAAAAUAAAGAGUCUAAAAUGCGCAGGGAUAAUAGAAACUUUUGUAAAAUACUUUGAGGUCCUAAAUUUAAAAAAGGCUGGUUCUGUGGUUGGAUUCAAGUUGGACUCGUUGGAGGAUGUGGUGGAGAGAUGUACUGUGAGGAAGGUGGAGGCUAUUCUAAAGAAUAUGGCUCACCCACUUCACAACACCUUGGUGGACCGAAAGGCCUAUGGUGGUGGACGGCUCCUCUCUCUGCUGCAGGACAGAAAGACUCAUAAGAUCUUUUGUACCCACAGCCAUCAGACUCUACAAUUUAAAUAGUAGAUGACUUUUUGAGACAUGACAAGUGAGACUACAGACAAUUGAAUUACCCUUAGGGGAUAAAUAAUGUUCUUCAUUUUCAAUUAUCUCUUAUGAACACUGUAUUUUUAGUCAUUAAUUUGAUUGAAGGGUUAUCGAACAAGACAAUGGUCACUUCCAGCUUUUGACUCAACUUGACUUUUGAUAGAUGUAUAGUUGAGGACAGCCACUUGGUGGAUUGAGUAAAAGUACAUUAUAAUCUCAUUAGCUUUGGGUGGAUGUUGGAUCAUUUAAUUUUAUUUCUUUAAUAAAAAAAGAUUAAUGUUUUUUUCCAUUGUGUCUUACAGGUAUCCUGUCCAGUCUCCCCACUCUCCCCUAUCAUUUUGGUCCCUCUGACUUUCCUGUCUCCUCUACCACUCUUUCUGAUUGAAAAGCCACUCUGCCUUUCUAUCCCCCUUCUAUCCCACUCUGGCUACUAAUACAAUCCUUGAACAAAUCUUUGAUACCAUUGAAACAAAUCUUUGAGAACUAUUGAAACAAAUCUUUGAGACCUAUUGAAACAAAUCUUUGAGACCUAUUGAAACAAAUCUUUGAGACCUAUUGAAACAAAUCUUUGAGACCUAUUGAAACAAAUCUUUGAGACCCUUUGCAAUAAAUCUUUGAGACCUUUUGCAACAAAUCAUUUGAGACCCCUUUGCAACAAAUCAUUUGAGACCCCUUUGCAACAAAUCAUUUGAGACCCCUUUGCAAUAAAUCUUUUUGAGACCUAUUUUAACAAGCCACCUUUUUUGAGAAACCUUUGUAAACAAUCAACCCUUUUUUUGAGAAACCGAACUUCUGAAAAGCUGUACAUUUAAUCCAACCACUGUAUUGGAAAAAGCCCUAAUUUUGCAAAAGUCUCAUUGUUGUUCCAGGUUUUCUUUUCCUGUCUGUGGAUCCAGAGUUUCACCAGAAGAAGUGUCAUCAGCACCACCAUAUCUGCGUCCCUGAUUUUGAAAGAAAAAAUAAACACGUUUCAUAUA